AUACGUAGGGGGCGAGCGUUGUCCGGAAUGAUUGGGCGUAAAGGGCGCGUAGGCGGCUUUGCAAGUCAGUAGUGGAAGUCCAUUUUUCAAGGAUGGAAGUGCUACAGAAACUGCGGAGCUUGAGUGCAGGAGAGGUUAUCGGAAUUCCCGGUGUAGCGGUGAAAUGCGUCGAGAUCGGGAGGAACACCAGUGGCGAAGGCGGGUAACUGGACUGCAACUGACGCUGAGGCGCGAAAGUGUGGGGAGCAAACAGGAUUAGAUACCCUGGUAGUCCACACUGUAAACGAUGAAUGCUAGGUGUAGGAGGUAUCGACCCCUUCUGUGCCGCAGUAAACACAGUAAGCAUUCCGCCUGGGGAGUACGGUCGCAAGAUUAAAACUCAAAUGAAUUGACGGGG
rnacentral:rRNA from 1 species